GUUGGUUGAAAAUCACCCUCAGCUUUGGCUGUAGCCGGGAGUGAGAUGCGGCGCCCAGAGCCAGCAGGGGCCUCAGCUCACCGCCCACUGCCUCGUGUGCGGCGAGUGAAACCCAGGCCCUGACAGGU
ensembl:snoRNA